CCCAUCUAGAGUAACAAAAUCCAACCAGGCCCCUCAAAAACCCAAUAUUACAUCAGCCCGAACUGGGCAGUUUUCGCCCAGAGGGACCGGUCUCUCCCCAGCAGGGACCGGUCUCUCGCUGCGAACCCGAAAAACCAACGUUCGGGAACCGGUCUCUCCCUGCGCGGGACCGGUCUCUCACUGCGAAGACGCGCUCGGGGACCGGUCUCGCCUGCCAGGGACCGGUUGCCUCAGGCUGCCUCAACACUGCUCACUGGGGGACCGGUCUCUCCUUUCAGGGACCGGUCCCCGAGAGUAAAAACUCUCAGGACUUGUUCAGAAUUCUAGUUUUCGAACUUUUUAGGUCGGAAAACAUUCUACAACCCUCCACCAAGUGUGAAAAAGCUCGAAAUACAUCCAAACACUCGAACCUCGCAAUUUUGCAAAGGUCCAGUGUGCUACAAACACCAUGUAGAGUAAAAGCAUGUACCAAUAAGGAAUCACGUCAAGUUGCAUUACUCAACCACCAUCAUAUAUAAUAAAUCAAGUAUAGAGAAAACCAAGUAAAAUACAAUUUUACUAACUUCGGAAUGGAGCACUCACCUCACCAAGUAUCAGAGCUCUCAGAGCUCUCAACUUGACCGAUAUAUCUAGCCGUCACAUGUACCUAGAAGAUACAAUUCACCAAAAACAACAAUCAUUACUCUACGUGCUAUCUAUACUAACCAACACACUCAACCUAUACCAUCAUAUACCACGACACGACUGGAACAUCAAUUCCACUAACCGGCUUGCAAUACUAAGCUUGACAACUAACCGAUUCCACGAAAAGUCACAGCAACACACCCACAAUCCCAAGACACACCACUUUAGGUGAUGGGACGCCCGCACACCAAGUGCACUACAGCUGUUGAAUAAAAUCAUGACAGGCCUAAAGCCACCACUACAAUAAUCUAAACACUACUUUAGUGUUGAACCAUACAAGCAUUGUGUAAUUGGCCCUAAGACCCUCACAACACCAUAACAUCACCAGCUAGUGAUAUGAAGUCACCCACAACAACCAACGGCCCAACCGAAAUAUCAGACCCACUUACCAAUUUUUGAAAUCCGCGGACUUCCAAAUAAACUCAUCGGGAUGUCACUUUAGUGAAUGAAGUUUCCCGAGGCAAACCACACAUCUCUAAAUCACAUCCGCUGUCCCUAAACACCAUACUUUAGGUGUUGGGAUAGCCGCAUGUAGGAUGCACGAUAAAGGGAUUCCACAGCUUCAGAAGUAACUCAAAUUGGGUUCCGGAAUACCUAUUUUGGUAUUAGAACCAACCAUGUCGCACUUGCUACCAUAAAGGAUGCAAAAAGAGAGGCUAGACCAGUUGACAAGGCUCAUCAACUAAUUCGGACGUCAUCAAACCCGAUUCCAUAAAAACGAAAUCGAAACUCGCAAAAUCGAUCCAUUUUCAACUCAACUGAUGCCAUUUUGCACCAAUCCGCCACGAAGGGCUUCCGAAACUUGGACAACAAGUCUGAACAUCCAAUUCUACUAAACAUCGCUAUCCAACUCCCUGUGAUGUAAAAAGCAUCAAAAAGUCUACAUCAACCUGAAAUUGCAUAUGAAACAUCUAUAAAUAGGAGAAAAUAGGGAUUCGUGUAUUUACUGGAUAUAUGCAUAUUGGGAGUCGACUAAUAGGAUGCAAGGUUGAUGACAGUCCAUUGGCUACGAGGAAUAGCACCGGAGUCGCAAUGGCAAUCCGAAAGUGGUGACUAGCUAUACUAAACGAAUCGAGUACACCACGGGUGCGCGCCAUCUUAAGUUGUCAAAAAAGCACCAUUAGCAUGAGCACGGUGUUAGGAGUGGCAAGGAGAUCGCUAUGCUCCCAAGAACUAUAUAUUCAGCCACCAGAUUGACUGAAAAUGCCAACAACAAAAAUGAGUUAAUUCAUCAAGCACUGAAUAAGCGACACUGUAAUCAGCGAUUUGGCGCACAUUUACCUAAAACUCAGAGGAGCAUAGAUCAGCACAAAUGUCCAAGGGUGUCGUGCUCACUAGCGGAGUAUUGUCGGAGGCCUAGACUAGCUGUAAGGACUGAGAUUUUGGCAGUGUAGCUAAGCUCUCUGUUGACGAUAUUUUUGUGUGUAUUUUAAUUACAAAAGCACUCAUCAAGUUUCAGGAGAAAAUGAGUUAGGAUGGAGAAGUUACGCGACCUUUACUAAUCACUUAAAGUGAAUAGUAACUCCGGUUUUUCGAAGAAGCCAAUGAGUGGAGAUGGCUUCUGGUGCGUAUUGGACUUCGUUCAUAGUGAUCCAAUAGCUCAUUUUCAACGGUUCGACUGUCCUGGAUCUAAUGGUGCUGACGGAUUUCAGGUUUGACGCAUGAAUUUUGAGAAAACUGUAGAUACAUGUAUUCUAUGAAUUUGUGCGUAGUUCUGCCUUUUGGAGAGAGGAUGAGUUUCAUCGCAAAUCGACAACCAAAUCGGACGAAACAAAAUGAUAGAUUUGAUGCCCCAGUCGUGCUGAAUGCACUGGCUUGAUCCGAUCGAAAAUCCAACAGACGGAUCUUGGGGAAUCAUGAAAUGUUUAUUGAGGGGUCGAAUUUGGCAAAACGGAAAAUCUGCGAAAUGCCCAACAUUUUAUGUACCGUUUUACUUGAUUCGAAUGUCGUGGUGCUUGUGUGCAAAAUAUACGCGCUGGCAAGGACUCAGCUGAAAAUAGUCAGCUUUGGGGGACUGUUUCGCAAUAUACACAAUAUGUAUAUAAGGUUGCAACUAGGGUAUCUAUGCACGAAACCUUAGAACUAGCCAACCCAGCUCCCCAGCUAUGCCCUGGCCGUCAUCAGCAAGCACCUGCCCUACCGUGCGAGCACCCCGGCCGUCGUGAGCGUCCCCGGCCGCCGAAAAAGCUUGGUUCGGCCUCUCCUCCAUCAUCUUCUCCACUUAGCCGCCACCUUCCUCGGCUGUCGAUCUCAGGGAAUCACCUGCACCCUGGGAAACUCUAUCCUCUGGCCGAGAUCCCNGGCUAGGUCAAACCCACCGAACCGUCGCGUGCUCCUUCGAUUCGCCGAACGGAGUUGUCCACGAGCCUCAAGAUACCCUAAAAGUGAUCAGCGAAAAGAUACGCAAGCAUUACGAGCAACUCUAGGCUCAAACAAUAAUAAUCACAAGAAUAGGGCUAAAACUCACCUAGGGGGUAGAAAUUCUCACUCAGGCUCUAAAAGAAGGCUAGGAUCCUUCCAAUCCAACCCAAAGGAGGGUUCUAAUCCAAAAAAAAUCUAGCCUCAAAAGCCCUAGAUCAAAAAGCCCCCAAAAUCAACCCUAAUAUCCAUUCUAGGGUUCCAAAUGGUAAAACCUACCAAAUCAAGGAUCAAAGGGUAGAAUCCAAGUACUAACCUCCCAAAAUGCCUCCAAACAAGCUCCAAAUCUUCUAGGGUUGAAGAUCGGUCCACCACCAAGCUCUACAACCAAGCUCCAAGCCAAGCAAGGGUGUAAAAGAGAGAAAGGGGUUGAGCUCCAAGCUCCCUCAAGCAAGCUCCUCUUCUUCUUCUCCUUCUUCUUCUUCUUCUCCCUCUAGAAGGUGUAGGGUGAGGGUGAGAAAUAAGGAAGGAAGAGAGGGGAAUGGCUAAUAAGCCCAUCUAGUGUAACAAAACCCGGAGAGGCCCCUCAAAAACUCAAAUUUACAUCAACCCGAACUCGGCAGUUUUCGCCCAGAGGGACCGGUCUCUCCCCAGCAGGGACCGGUCUCUCGCUGCGAACCCGAAAAACCAACGUUCGGGAACCGGUCUCUCCCUGCGCGGGACCGGUCUCUCACUGCGUAGGCGCUCUCGAGGACCGGUCUCGCCUGCCAGGGACCGGUUGCCUCAAGGCUGCCGCAACACUGCUCACUGGGGGACCGGUCUCUCCUUUCAGCGACCGGUCCCCGAGAGUAAAAACUCUCAGGACUUGUCCAGAAUUCUAGUUUUCAAACUUUUUAGGUCGGAAAACAUUCUACAACCCUCCACCAAAUGUGGAAAAACUCGAAAUACAUCCAAACACUCGAACCUCGCAAUUUUG
rnacentral:lncRNA from 1 species